CCUCUCUCCAUGUGCUUGCAGUCUGGGACUGUGCCUUGGAGUUUGGGACCGAGGGGGAGCCAGGCUGCUGCCAAGGACACUGAUCCAGUGGAGGGGCUGUCGGAUGCAGCUACAGACCGGGACUAGACUCCUGUUGGAACUGGGAUCUAGCCGGCUGCUUCCGAUAGGCACAGCACGAGGCGGGCCUGGGCACAUUCGGGCAGCUACAAAUGGACAUCGUUGCUCAGCAAUCACUGGGGCUCUGAGUCUGCACCAGCGCAGGAUCGGGCACCUCGGACAAGUCCCACAGGCCUUUCUCCUUCCCUUGCCUCUGCCUGGUACAGCCAUGGACAGCCCCAGAGCUACUGAGCGGGAUCCCUGGCCACUCCUGUAACCUGACUAAUAAACACUGCUCCC